GACAGAGGUGCCAAGCGUUAGGCGGAAUCACUGGGCUUAAAGCGUGUGUAGGCGGAUCGUUAAGUACCUUGUGAAAUCCCACGGCUCAACCGUGGAACUGCUGGGUAUACUGGCGAUCUUGAGCCACCUAGGGGCGAGCGGAACAAGCGGUGGAGCGGUGAAAUGCGUAGAUAUCAUCUGGAACGCCAAUGGUGCAGACAGGCUGCUGGGGAUGUACUGACGCUGAGGCACGAAAGCCAGGGGAGCAAACGGG
rnacentral:rRNA from 1 species